CGGGUGAGUAACGCGUGGAAAACCUGCCGUAUACUGGGGGAUAACACUUAGAAAUAGGUGCUAAUACCGCAUAAGCGCACAGCUUCGCAUGAAGUGGUGUGAAAAACUCUGGUGGUAUACGAUGGUUCCGCGUCUGAUUAGCUUGUUGGCGGGGUAAUGGCUCACCAAGGCGACGAUCAGUAGCCGGCCUGAGAGGGUGAACGGCCACAUUGGGACUGAGAUACGGCCCAAACUCCUACGGAAGGCAGCAG
rnacentral:rRNA from 1 species